rnacentral:misc_RNA from 1 species
CGGAAACGAGGAGGAAGAGUAACUCUUCCCUAUACAUACACCCGGCCAAUCAGCAAUUUCAGUUAAAAUCAUGGAGGAGGAAAUGUCCCUCGCCUAAAAUUGCAGCGAAGAUAAAGAGAUUUAAAACUCGUAUGGCUUUCUUUCUCACAACUAAGGAGCUUUAAAAAUUCCAUCUUUUCCCAUUUCUUGAUGUGUUUUGGCAAGAUUUGCAAUCUUCACUAUUUCUCGAAGCUAAUUGUAGCAACCGUUGUGGUGGCAGCUUAGCUUGGUGCCAAGCAAAAGAAAUUCUUUUUGGAGGUUCUGAAAUUACCAAAAGUGGGAAGAAUUGAGGGUUCUCAAACCCAUUAUCAGGUUGCUGCAAAAGUAAAGAGUAGAGAAUCCAUGCUAUCUACUGGUAUGCUUGUUGCUUCUCUGCCAUUGCCUAUGUAUCAAUAUUUGUAUCUUUAUUCUUUAUGACUGAUGCUGCAUGCCUCCAGUUGUUAGCAGUUUGAUCUUCAUUAACCACAGGGGAUUGAUUGAAAUCAUCCCUGAAAGCAUACGGAACCUUUGGAAUGAAUGGGAGCUCCGUGGGGCAGUUAUGGUCAGCCUCUCUAUUCAGAUGGUCUUAAUUGUAUUGGGAAACCGAAGAAAGUACAUUGCCCGAGAUUGGCUGGCAAUUGUCCUUUGGCUUGUUUACCUGUCAGCAGAUUGGAUUGUAAAUGUUUCACUUGGUGUUCUCUCCAAUAUGGAAUCAACCAAUAAAAACGGAUUGCUGGAUCCAAAGUAUGUGAUAAUGUCAUUUUGGGCACCAUUUCUUCUUCUGCAUCUUGGUGGUCCUGACACCAUUACAGCCUAUUCAAUGGAAGAUAAUGAAUUAUGGAUGAGGCAAUUGCUUGGGCUAACUGUCAAGUUUGGGGGGGCAUUUUAUGUCUUACUUAGAUCAUGGAUGGGAAGUCCAUUUAACUUUCUAGCACUUCCAAUGUUCAUAGUUGCAAUCAUCAAGUGUGGGGAGAGGACUUGGGCUCUACGAUUUGCAAGUACUGACCAGUUCAGGAAAUCCAUGCUUCAUCGGCCUGAUCCAGGACAUAGCUAUGCUAAAUUCAUGGAUGAUUACACUUCAAAAAGAGCUGAGGGGUACAACGUAUCACUGGAGCCAGUGAUUGAUGAAGCUUCCAUUGUGCUGGGUCAAUCUUGUAAAGCUGUAGAAAACAGCAUUGUCCCUGACGCUGCAAUCUUGCAUGAUGCUGCAUAUUGCUUUAAAACUUUCAAGAGGUUAUUUGCCGAUCUCAUCCUCAGCUACCAGGACCUAAAGAGUAGCAGGUCCUUUUUCCAUGAUGAGCACAUGACUUGGGAGAAAGCUUUCAAAGUGAUAGAGAUUGAGCUUGGAUUCAUGUACAAUUUGCUUUAUACCAAGGCAAUUGUGAUACAUGAUUAUCGCGGCAGCUUUCUUCGUACUAUCAGUUUAUCUUCUACCAUUUUUGCUCUCAUAGCCUUUUUUAUAAUUGAUAAGCCUUCUUAUUCGAGAAUUGACAAAAUCAUAACUUGUGUGCUACUGUUUGCUGCUAUUGCUUUGCAAGUAUAUGAGAUGAUUGUUCUACUUUCCUCAGAUUUGACAUUACUUUGGCUAAGCAAGCACAAAAAUCUGUUGGUGGAUCUCAUCUACAAGACCAUCUGCUAUAUCCAGUCAUGGUUGCAACCUUUUUAUAUUACGCCAUCUGUGAACAAGAGAUGGUCUAAUUGCAUUGCAAAAUUCAAUCUAAUAAGAAUUUGCCUCGAUGAUAAGCCAAUCAUGUUCAGUGGAAUCUUCAGGUUCUUAUGCAUUUAUGAGAUGCUAGAGAAGCGGCACUUCAAAGUCUUGGAUGCUGUCAGCCCCGAUUUAAAAAAGCUGGUGUUUGAGCAACUUUUGGUGAAGUCUAGGAAUGAACUGGACAUAAGCAUUUCUAGGCAAUUAUGUGCUCAAAGGGGUGAUCAGGUACUCAGAGAAAUGGGUUGUUUUGACAAGAUUGGCUGGAGUGUCAAAGCAGAAUUUGAUCAGAGCAUUCUUCUAUGGCAUAUUGCCACGGAUCUCUGCUUUUACUUGGAUGUAAACAAAAAUUCAAAUGUAAUUGAAACCCCAAUAUGUAAAGAAAGCAAAUCUUUAGCAGAAUACAUGUUGUAUCUUCUAGUUAUGUGCCCUUUCAUGCUUCCUAAUGGGAUUGGGCAGAUUAGAUUUCAAGAUACCUGUGCUGAGGCCGCCCAAUUUUUUCAAGAAAAAAAGGACAUAUCAGAUGAAAACAAAGCUUGCACUGCAUUGCUUGAGGUGAACACUGAUAUUCUUCCAUCUCAAGUGAAAGGAGAUAGAAGCAAGUCAGUAUUAUUCGACGCAUGUAGGAUUGCCAAGUCCUUACAAUCCUUGGAGACAGGAGCAAUGGACAAGUGAGAAGAAGUGGGAGAUGAUAAAUCAUGUGUGGAUAGAGAUGCUUUCUCAUGCUGCAAGUCAGUGUGGAUCAAACAGCCAUGCCAAGCAACUCAGAGGAGGAGGGGAGCUGCUCACUUGUGUCUGGCUAUUGAUGGCUCAUCUGGGUAUUACUGAACAAUUUCAGAUUUCUAAAGGCAAUGCAAGGGUGAAGUUGGUUGUGAGUUCAACAUUCCUGAGGAGAAAUAAUUUUUUGUAAUUUAUCAAGAAAUAUUAUUUAGAGCUUGGCAUUUUUGUUGCCCCAUUUAGGCAUGGAAGAGUUACAUAUAUGGAUUGUACUGUAUAAACAUAUCAAUUAUUUUUAAAAAUACAUCGCUAGAUAGUUAUAAUGGAGAAAUAAUUAAUUAUUAGAGAAA